rnacentral:rRNA from 1 species
UACGGAAGGCAGCAGUGGGGAAUAUUGCACAAUGGGCGAAAGCCUGAUGCAGCUAUGCCGCGUGUAUGAAGAAGGCCUUAGGGUUGUAAAGUACUUUCAUCGGGGAGGAAAAACAAAACUAAUAAUUUUAUUUCUUGACGUUACCCGAAAAAGAAGCACCGGCUAACUCCGUGCCAGCAGCCGCGGUAAUACGGAGGGUGCUAGCGUUAAUCAGAAUUACUGGGCGUAAAGAGCACGUAGGUGGUUUUUUUAAGUCAGAUGUGAAAUCCCUGGGCUUAACCUAGGAACUGCAUUUUGAAACUGAAAUACUAGAGUAUCGUAGAGGGAGGUAGAAUUCUAGGUGUAGCGGUGAAAUGCGUAGAUAUCUGGAGGAAUACCUGUGGCGAAAGCGGCCUCCUAAACCGAAUACUGACACUGAGGUGCGAAAGCGUGGGGAGCAAACCAGGGAUUAGAUACCCGU